GAUAGAAUCAGAUUCAGAAAACGGUAACUAUUUUAAAAGAUACUUAAUUCAAGUAUUAUUAGUUUUAUUUUGAUAUUAAUUUUUAUAGGAGCCACUACCAUGCUUAUGCAAGAGAAAACAUAAUAACCAACAUAAUAGUAAGCAAGUACCUACUCCUGUGACGCAAAAAAAGAAACAGAAAACAAUUUUUAUGCAUACUCCACAUACUGUUGCUCAAGGUUAACAAACUUUCUAAAAUUGGAGGUAAAACCAUUAAGACAAAUA